rnacentral:misc_RNA from 1 species
GAUGAAGAACGUAGCGAAAUGCGAUAAUUAAUGUGAAUUGCAGAAUUUAGCGAAUCAUCGAAUCUUUGAACGCACAUUGCGCCCCUUGGUAUUCCGGGGGGCAUGCCUGUUCGAGCGUCAUUUCAACCCUCAAGCUCUGCUUGGUCUUGGGCCGCGCCGGCAACGGCGGGCCUCAAAAACAGUGGCGGCGCCAUCUGGUCCCUCAGCGUAGUAAUUCUUCUCGCUGCUGGGCCCCGGUGGCCGCUUGCCAGCAACUCCAAACUUUCUAUGGUUGACCUCGGAUCAGGUAGGGAUACCCGCUGAACUUAAGCAUAUCAAUAAGCGGAGGA